CCUGCUCUACAGUGUCUCGCAAAGAUGUGUACAUACACCUUUUCAAUGAUCUCUUGCUCCUCUCUGUUAAAAGUGGAAACAGAUUUGUUGUGUAGGACCAUGCACCAUUUCCUGAUAAAGUAUGUGUAAAGGAGCUCGAAACAAGUUUGGGAUUUCCUCCUGAAUACUUCCUGCUCCAUCUGAACCAGAACUACAACCAAUCUUCCAGAGGCCUGAUACUGGCUGCAUCAACGAGGUUAGAAAAAGAGACCUGGGUGAAAGUUUCUCUUCAAAAUAGGAGGCAGAGAACGUGGAAACGCAGCAGAGUUUGUUCUUAAAGAAAUGGGCUCCAUGAAGUGCUCUAAAA